GACUACAAGACGAAAGAAUUGGAGAGCAUUGAUGACGCCAACAUCAUGUUUGACCCCGGUGUGACCUGAGGCCACGUGAGAACCUCGGUGACAAUUAAACUCAAAUACAUUCUUAAAGUCAUCCGACGUUGCUUACAGUUCCAACUAUCAGCGGCACAAAUGAUUACAAAGCUAAAAAAAUCACCCAGUUACGUCUUUCUAGGAGGUUUCUUAAACCAAAAUAAAUGAUUCAUCCUACUGGUCGCCCGCGGUCAUAGCUGCAACUGCAAACACUGUCCGCCUGAUAGACUGGGAAAGGGGGGGAUGACAGCGCUGAACCACUGGCAGACUGGUUUUGGCCGCAGUCCUGUCUGGUUGCCGGCGGCAACAGAUUACUUUCAGAUUGGGCUUCAGGGGAGGGGCC
ensembl:lncRNA